AAAUUGAAGAGUUUGAUCAUGGCUCAGAUUGAACGCUGGCGGCAGGCCUAACACAUGCAAGUCGAACGGUAACAGGAAGCAGCUUGCUGCUUUGCUGACGAGUGGCGGACGGGUGAGUAAUGUCUGGGAAACUGCCUGAUGGAGGGGGAUAACUACUGGAAACGGUAGCUAAUACCGCAUAAUGUCGCAAGACCAAAGAGGGGGACCUUCGGGCCUCUUGCCAUCGGAUGUGCCCAGAUGGGAUUAGCUAGUAGGUGGGGUAACGGCUCACCUAGGCGACGAUCCCUAGCUGGUCUGAGAGGAUGACCAGCCACACUGGAACUGAGACACGGUCCAGACUCCUACGGGAGGCAGCAGUGGGGAAUAUUGCACAAUGGGCGCAAGCCUGAUGCAGCCAUGCCGCGUGUAUGAAGAAGGCCUUCGGGUUGUAAAGUACUUUCAGCGGGGAGGAAGGCGAUAAGGUUAAUAACCUUGUCGAUUGACGUUACCCGCAGAAGAAGCACCGGCUAACUCCGUGCCAGCAGCCGCGGUAAUACGGAGGGUGCAAGCGUUAAUCGGAAUUACUGGGCGUA
rnacentral:rRNA from 1 species